rnacentral:rRNA from 1 species
GUGUGUAACAACUCACCUGCCAAAGCAACUAGCCCCAAAAAUGGAUGGCGCUAUAGCAUUGUACUUAUACUCAAUCUCCGAUGUGUGACGCACCGGAACACUCAGAGAGUAGGAAGGUAAUGUGAUAGCGUCGAAGGAUUUUGCUGUAAAGCAAUCUGGAGCUGUCACAUGCGCAGAUCUUGGUGGUAGUAGCAA